UACGGAGGGUGCAAGCGUUGUUCGGAAUCAUUGGGCGUAAAGCGCGUGUAGGCGGCUUGGCAAGUCGGUUGUGAAAGCCCGGGGCCCAACCCCGGAACUGCAUCUGAAACUGCCUGGCUAGAGUCCCGGAGAGGAAGGCAGAAUUCCCGGUGUAGGGGUGAAAUCCGUAGAUAUCGGGAGGAAUACCAGCGGCGAAGGCGGCCUUCUGGACGGUGACUGACGCUGAGGUGCGAAAGCGUGGGGAGCAAACAGG
rnacentral:rRNA from 1 species